AAACUCCCUUGACGGUACUUAAUGAAUAAGCCCCGGCUAAUUAUGUGCCAGCAGCCGCGGUAAUACAUAAGGGGCGAGCGUUAUCCGGAAUUAUUGGGCGUAAAGGGUGCGUAGGCGGUUUAAUAAGUCUAUAGUUUAAUUUCAGUGCUUAACGCUGUUGUGCUAUAGAAACUGUUUUACUAGAGUGAGUUAGAGGCAAGCGGAAUUCCAUGUGUAGCGGUAAAAUGCGUAAAUAUAUGGAGGAACACCAGAGGCGUAGGCGGCUUGCUGGGACUUUACUGACGCUGAGGCACGAAAGCGUGGGGAGCAAACAGGAUUAGAUACCCUGGUAGUCCACACCGUAAACGAUGAGUACUAAGUGUCGGGUAAAACCGGUACUGAAGUUAACACAUUAAGUACUCCGCCUGAGUAGUACGUACGCAAGUAUGAAACUUAAAGGAAUUGACGGGACUCCGCACAAGCGGUGGAUCAUGUUGUUUAAUUCGAAGAUACACGAAAAACCUUACCAGGUCUUGACAUUUUCUUGCGAAGUUAUAGAAAUAUAAUGGAGGUUAUCAGGAAAACAGGUGGUGCAUGGUUGUCGUCAGCUCGUGUCGUGAGAUGUUAGGUUAAGUCCUAAAACGAGCGCAACCCUUGUCGUUAAUUGCCAGCAUGUAAUGAUGGGGACUUUAACGAGACUGCCAAUGAAAAAUUGGAGGAAGGUGGGGAUUACGUCAAAUCAUCAUGCCCCUUAUGAUCUGGGCUACAAACGUGAUACAAUGGUUGAUACAAAGAGUAGCUGAAACGCGAGUUCUUAGCCAAUCUCACAAAAU
rnacentral:rRNA from 1 species